CAGUAGCCGCGGGAACACGGGGGGUGCAAGCGUUACCCGGAUUUACUGGGCGUAAAGGGCGUGUAGGCGGCCUGGGGCGUCCCAUGUGAAAGGCCACGGCUCAACCGUGGAGGAGCGUGGGAUACGCUCAGGCUAGAGGGUGGGAGAGGGUGGUGGAAUUCCCGGAGUAGCGGUGAAAUGCGCAGAUACCGGGAGGAACGCCGAUGGCGAAGGCAGCCACCUGGUCCACUUCUGACGCUGAGGCGCGAAAGCGUGGGGAGCAAACCGGAUUAGAUACCCCUGUAGUCCCUGUCUCUUAUAC
rnacentral:rRNA from 1 species